rnacentral:tRNA from 1 species
GUCCCAUUCGUCCUGGUGGUCUAGGACACCGCCCUUUCACGGCGGUAACAGGGGUUCGAACUAUGGGACGCCA